CGGAGAAUCGCGAGGCAGAGCGGGAGCGCGCAGCCAGGUGGAAACUAAUUCUAAGCCAGACUGCUGGAGAUCACCCUGUUCUAGUGUGUGGAGGCUUCCACCAGGAGGCGCAUUGGAGUGACUGUCUGGCAUCACCAAGAUGACACUCCACGCCACCCGGGGGGCUGCACUCCUCUCUUGGGUGAACAGUCUACACGUGGCUGACCCUGUGGAGGCUGUGCUGCAGCUCCAGGACUGCAGCAUCUUCAUCAAGAUCAUUGACAGAAUCCAUGGCACUGAAGAGGGACAGCAAAUCUUGAAGCAGCCGGUGUCAGAGAGACUGGACUUUGUGUGCAGUUUUCUGCAGAAAAAUCGAAAACAUCCCUCUUCCCCAGAAUGCCUGGUAUCUGCACAGAAGGUGCUAGAGGGAUCAGAGCUGGAACUGGCGAAGAUGACCAUGCUGCUCUUAUACCACUCUACCAUGAGCUCCAAAAGUCCCAGGGACUGGGAACAGUUUGAAUAUAAAAUUCAGGCUGAGUUGGCUGUCAUUCUUAAAUUUGUGCUGGACCAUGAGGACGGGCUAAACCUUAAUGAGGACCUAGAGAACUUCCUACAGAAAGCUCCUGUGCCUUCUACCUGUUCUAGCACAUUCCCUGAAGAGCUCUCCCCACCUAGCCACCAGGCCAAGAGGGAGAUUCGCUUCCUAGAGCUACAGAAGGUUGCCUCCUCUUCCAGUGGGAACAACUUUCUCUCAGGUUCUCCAGCUUCUCCCAUGGGUGAUAUCCUGCAGACCCCACAGUUCCAGAUGAGACGGCUGAAGAAGCAGCUUGCUGAUGAGAGAAGUAAUAGGGAUGAGCUGGAGCUGGAGCUAGCUGAGAACCGCAAGCUCCUCACCGAGAAGGAUGCACAGAUAGCCAUGAUGCAGCAGCGCAUUGACCGCCUAGCCCUGCUGAAUGAGAAGCAGGCGGCCAGCCCACUGGAGCCCAAGGAGCUUGAGGAGCUGCGUGACAAGAAUGAGAGCCUUACCAUGCGGCUGCAUGAAACCCUGAAGCAGUGCCAGGACCUGAAGACAGAGAAGAGCCAGAUGGAUCGCAAAAUCAACCAGCUUUCGGAGGAGAAUGGAGACCUUUCCUUUAAGCUGCGGGAGUUUGCCAGUCAUCUGCAGCAGCUACAGGAUGCCCUCAAUGAGCUGACGGAGGAGCACAGCAAGUCCACUCAGGAGUGGCUAGAGAAGCAGGCCCAGCUGGAGAAGGAGCUCAGCGCAGCCCUGCAGGACAAGGUAACCCUCUGCUGGGGUCACAGCCACAGUCUUGACCACAUGUGCAAAGCUGAGUCCAGUUUACCACUGUGCUCUUCUGGGCCUUUGGGUAUUAAGUUGCUUUCUCUUCAAGGUUCAAUAGUGUGCUGUAAUUGAAAGAUUGUGGGCUUCAGUCUAGUACACCUUUUUUUUUUUAACUUAUUUUUUUUUUCCCCAGUCAAUGCCCUCACUUUAUAGUACACCUUUCAAUCCUAUCUCUGCUGUUCACAAGAUGUGGAUCUUGGACAAGUUAAUCAGUCUGUUUUUCUAAGCAUCCUUUCCCUAAAAUGGGAGUAGUAACGAGUAGCUGCCUCAUCACCUAUUAUGAGAAAACGUAUGUAAAGCACUUCACACAUCGUGUAGUGUAAAGUAAGCUCUCAGUGAACCAGUUGUGAUUGUUACUAUUGGUAAGAACCCAAUUUGGCCACUUACUAAUAACCAUGUAGCCCUUGAUCAAGGCACUUAGCAUCUGCUUCAGGUUCUUGCUCUGUAAGAGGAAUGGUAAUAGCUGCCUCCCACAUAAGCUGGGUGUGGUGAUGCAUGCCUGUAGUCCCAGCUACUCGGGAGGCUGAGACAGAAGAAGCUCUUGAAUUUGGGAGGUGGAGGUUGCAGUAAGCCAAGAUCUUGCCACUGCACUCCAGCCUAGGCGAUAGAGCGAGACUCUGUCUCAAAAAAAAAAGAAAAAAAAU
rnacentral:sRNA from 1 species